AACCAGUUUAUAGCCAUAGCACGAAGAAGGAUUAUAAGUACUUCGUUCCCGCACACCGGAGCUUUAAAAGCUCUGAUGUCAAACUACUGACUGUAACAGCAAGUUAUAGAAGUGCACUGCCCUUGCAAGGUUCAUCUACCAUAUUCUUAGUCUGCACAUGUACUUCUUAUCAAAUAACAAAUGUCGGGUGACAACAGCGUCAUGACAGCCCUUGCUUCGUUCAUGGUGCCGGCCAUCACCAUACUAUAUUCAGUCUCAGGCGGCCGGUACUACCCACCCGGAAGGGGUUUCAAGAAGGGCCAUGUCGCCGUGUACCAUGCAGAUGAAUCUGAACUCAUGCUCAAGAUGCCGCCACACACAUUCAGAUGGCGCCCUUUUGGUACAGUUACUAGCAGCGUGAGACAAGCAGAG